rnacentral:rRNA from 1 species
AAAUUGAAGAGUUUGAUCAUGGCUCAGAUUGAACGCUGGCGGCAGGCCUAACACAUGCAAGUCGAACGGUAACAGGAAGCAGCUUGCUGCUUCGCUGACGAGUGGCGGACGGGUGAGUAAUGUCUGGGAAACUGCCUGAUGGAGGGGGAUAACUACUGGAAACGGUAGCUAAUACCGCAUAACGUCGCAAGACCAAAGAGGGGGACCUUCGGGCCUCUUGCCAUCGGAUGUGCCCAGAUGGGAUUAGCUAGUAGGUGGGGUAACGGCUCACCUAGGCGACGAUCCCUAGCUGGUCUGAGAGGAUGACCAGCCACACUGGAACUGAGACACGGUCCAGACUCCUACGGGAGGCAGCAGUGGGGAAUAUUGCACAAUGGGCGCAAGCCUGAUGCAGCCAUGCCGCGUGUGUGAAGAAGGCCUUCGGGUUGUAAAGCACUUUCAGCGGGGAGGAAGGCGGUAAGGUUAAUAACCUUGCCGAUUGACGUUACCCGCAGAAGAAGCACCGGCUAACUCCGUGCCAGCAGCCGCGGUAAUACGGAGGGUGCAAGCGUUAAUCGGAAUUACUGGGCGUAAAGCGCACGCAGGCGGUCUGUCAAGUCGGAUGUGAAAUCCCCGGGCUCAACCUGGGAACUGCAUUCGAAACUGGCAGGCUAGAGUCUUGUAGAGGGGGGUAGAAUUCCAGGUGUAGCGGUGAAAUGCGUAGAGAUCUGGAGGAAUACCGGUGGCGAAGGCGGCCCCCUGGACAAAGACUGACGCUCAGGUGCGAAAGCGUGGGGAGCAAACAGGAUUAGAUACCCUGGUAGUCCACGCCGUAAACGAUGUCGACUUGGAGGUUGUGCCCUUGAGGCGUGGCUUCCGGAGCUAACGCGUUAAGUCGACCGCCUGGGGAGUACGGCCGCAAGGUUAAAACUCAAAUGAAUUGACGGGGGCCCGCACAAGCGGUGGAGCAUGUGGUUUAAUUCGAUGCAACGCGAAGAACCUUACCUACUCUUGACAUCCAGAGAACUUUCCAGAGAUGGAUUGGUGCCUUCGGGAACUCUGAGACAGGUGCUGCAUGGCUGUCGUCAGCUCGUGUUGUGAAAUGUUGGGUUAAGUCCCGCAACGAGCGCAACCCUUAUCCUUUGUUGCCAGCGGUUAGGCCGGGAACUCAAAGGAGACUGCCAGUGAUAAACUGGAGGAAGGUGGGGAUGACGUCAAGUCAUCAUGGCCCUUACGAGUAGGGCUACACACGUGCUACAAUGGCGCAUACAAAGAGAAGCGACCUCGCGAGAGCAAGCGGACCUCAUAAAGUGCGUCGUAGUCCGGAUUGGAGUCUGCAACUCGACUCCAUGAAGUCGGAAUCGCUAGUAAUCGUAGAUCAGAAUGCUACGGUGAAUACGUUCCCGGGCCUUGUACACACCGCCCGUCACACCAUGGGAGUGGGUUGCAAAAGAAGUAGGUAGCUUAACCUUCGGGAGGGCGCUUACCACUUUGUGAUUCAUGACUGGGGUGAAGUCGUAACAAGGUAACCGUAGGGGAACCUGCGGUUGGAUCACCUCCUUACCUUAAAGAA